AUUGAACGCUGGCGGCAUGCCUUACACAUGCAAGUCGAACGGCAGCACGGGUGCUUGCCCCUGGUGGCGAGUGGCGCACGGGUGUGUACUACAUCGGAACAUGUCCUGUAGUGGGGGAUAGCCCGGCGAAAGCCGGAUUAAUACCGCAUACGAUCUACGGAUGAAAGCGGGGGACCUUCGGGCCUCGCGCUAUAGGGUUGGCCGAUGGCUGAUUAGCUAGUUGGUGGGGUAAAGGCCUACCAAGGCGACGAUCAGUAGCUGGUCUGAGAGGACGACCAGCCACACUGGAACUGAGACACGGCCCAGACUCCUACGGGAGGCAGCAGUGGGGAAUUUUGGACGAUGGGCGAAAGCCUGAUCCAGCAAUGCCGCGUGUGGGAAGAAGGCCUUCGGGUUGUAAAGCACUUUUGUCCGGAAAGAAAUCCUUGGCCCUAAUACGGUCGGGGGAUGACGGUACCGGAAUAAUAAGCACCGGCUAACUACGUG
rnacentral:rRNA from 1 species